GCGAGCUGAAAGAGAGGCAAGCCGUGACGGUUGGCAAGGCAGGGAGCGCGCACGCAUCCGAUGCGGACCGACGUGGGAAAGCCGCCGGCCCCGUCACGUCCUGGCAGCAGGAGCGAGGCUGCCCCACGAGAAGCGGCUGCAGGACAGCUCCCGCGAGCUGGUUACCACCAGCACCAGGGCAUGUGGUAUGGAUGCCCCGCUGGGUCUUUAGGCUUAUUGCCACGAGACAAUCCCCCUCCACCCCACCAGUCAGUACGUCACUAGGCUGGUUUCUCUGUUGAGGAGAAAGUCAAUGAAAAACAAAAAGUCACCUAGAGUUAAAGUCUAGACCUCAAAUGGCAACGCAAGUUGAUGAACAGAAGAAAGCUGCAAAUGGAGCAGACGUUUCAGCACCAAUAGUGACGCGGUCCCUGAGGAAAGCACUCGCUCCUGACACCCCCGCUGUACCAAAGCACUCCUGCAUCCGUGCCAUGAGAUCAAAGGCGUCAGCUUUGACCCGCGUCAGGCAUUCGGCUUGCCCCAAAGGACCUCAACAUAGGAAAGAGCGACUCUGUGGCCCCGUGGCGUUGGUACCCCAGGUCAGGCCCGACGAGGGCCGGCGCAGCGGGGCAGCUCACGGCAGCCCUCUGUGGCAUUCGGAGCGGGCAGGGGCAACCCGAACGGCUGUGCCCAUGCUUGCAAACAAAGCGAAGCUCUUUUGGCACUGGAGAAAGCCCCGCACGUAUCCUUGCCGUGACACAGAGAAGAUCUUUCAUUGCAGCACACGCACGAGCGAGCUCCUGCGGCUCCUGACAGCCACGCUGCCCAGGCUGCACGCUGCCGAGCGCUUACAAAGGCAGUGCAGUUCCUCGGAGGGCUGAAAAUCCCACCCGAGGGCACGCGGUCCUGCCGGCACGUCCUGACCGUGCCCACAGAGCGGGCUGCGGUGUGCCCACGUCUGCUCCUCUCCGCCAAGGAAGCGGGUUCGCUACGAGUCUCCGUGCAGAGGGGAACCCACGCUCGGUACGGCCAGGCUGGCCUACGCCUGCUGCUGCGUGCCGGCCAGUAUCGCCCUGAUCCGAUGGGGAGGGUCCAUCCCCGCUCACCCUGCGAAUUCCCCGUCGGGGUACCCCGCCAGCAAAUGCUGGUGCAUGUCGCUCAGUGCAAUCAUUUAUUUUUGUUAUCCUUGGGGGGAGAUGGUGAGAUAACCCCUCUGGAUGAAUCCCAAAAUAAAGACAAACACAAGCAAUACCAAAUAUCUAUCAGGUGAUGAGAGCAUGCAGAGGAACGUAAGCAAAAAAUGCAGUUCAGUGACACAGUAGCCAUGUGCACCCAGCCCUGCUGGGUAAACUGACCCAAAGCCCGGCUUUGCCCAGGGCACGACACCAGGGGCUGGGAGCCUCACCCUGGGCCGUGCCUUUUCCAGCACGCGGCUGCUCCCAGAGACCCGCCGCUGUUUAUUUAGCGCUGGUAUUACAGGAGCCUUGUCAACGCCUAGUCGUGAACUGCUCCUAUCUGUUUGCUCAGCCUCUCUGUCCCCAGCCUGGGUCGAGCCUUUAGGUGCCGUCUGCCGAGGCGGGAGCGCUCGGAGGGCUGACGCCAAUGCUGCGGGCGCUGCGCCAGCCGUGCCGGAGCUGCAGGAGCCGUUUAUCUCCAUAAACGGGGGCACAGCGCAAACCAGGUGAGGCAUGGGGCUCAAGAUAAAGCCGACAUCAGCAGUGAGAUCUAGAUCUGACUUGUCCACUCCUGGAGGGGUCUGGAAAACAAAUUUGCGGAGCAAGCCUGCAAAGAAGAGGAACAGCUCCAUUUUGGCCAGUCCUUCUCCAAUGCAAGCCCUUCGUCCUGAAAAUAACCAGAAGAGAAGUAAAUGAUCAGCACCAUAAUAGUGCUAAAAGAGUCUCAGACUACGCAGAAGCCUGUGGGUAUGUGAGAUCAUUCAGUGCCUGUGAGUAAAUCGGUGUUUCCCGCAUUUCAGCCCGGAUCUCCCAAGCAAGAGAUGGUAACUAGCAGCAUGGUGAACUGGAUGAAUGACCAGAAUUCCCUUAUCCUAUGUUCUGUGCUUCUGACUUUCAUAAUUUCCAACAUCCAAAACUACUUCUGGAUUCAGUGGGAGCUGUGCAAUUAGCCUAACCGCAGGUGGUGCACAAAAUACCCCUCUCACCUAUGGAAAAUGGAAUAAAUGCCUCUCUCCUAAUAAAGUUCCCGUCAGCAUCCAGGAAGUGAGAAGGGUUGAACUCAUCAGGGGUUUUCCAGUGCAACUCAUCAUUCAGAGCGGAGGUCAGCAACGGAAUAACCUCUGUCCCCUGAAAGGAAUCAAACAAAUUCAUGGUAGUUGGUAGGAGCAGAUCACUUUCACAGUCCAGCUAGGCUGUUGUUUUUUUUUUUUUCCAAUGUGCAUGGGUGAAUAAGACUGAGCCAUGGCAAACAGACCUAGUGAAUGCUUUCCUGCUCUGCUUUGCCUUUUAUCAGUAGUUGCUGAUCCCUUUUUGCGCCACAAAACAGAACGUGUUUCCUUCUUACAUAUUCGGAGACACCUUUCAAGCAAGAAGCUGAAGUAGAGGUUCCACAUUUGGCAAAAGAGAUUCAAAAUAGUGUGAUUUAAUUAAAGUCUGUGGUUAUUCUGGAUUCAAAAAGCUCUAACUAAGAGCUCAAUCCAGCCCAUAGUUGUAACAGCCAUCCUGGAUCUGAGACAAAAGAUUACAUCAUUGAUUAAACCAAACAUCAGGGCAUCUUUAGGUUUUUUCAUUUUCCUUGUCUGCUUUAAAAGAAAUUGUAAGGAAUCUGUGCAGUGUAAGCUGACAACCUCAAAACUCACCUUAGGAAUCACAUAACCUUGGAAAUUCACAUCAGUAGGAGUUGAUCUUGAUACACUCAUUGGGACUAUAUUGGCAAAUCUUUGUAUUUCAUGUAUCACUGCAUCUGUAUAGGGCAUUUUUUUCCGGUCCUCCAACUUAGGCAGUUGUCCUGGUUCAAUGACUUGGUUCAUUUCUUCCUGAAUCUUUCCUUUGGAGGAAGAAAAGAUAAACAAGCUGUAACCCCCUCUUAUCUUGCAACCUAAAUGGCUGUUGGUUUAGCCAAGAUCAAUAAAAGGGAAAACUUUGAGGAGUAUUCGGGAAGAGCAAAAAUAGGGGCAGGUAAGUCAAUGUGUCAGGUAGUUCUUUCAAGUUUGUUGUUGAGCCAAGGGAGCAUGAAUGGAGCUGCUACAGGACAUGCCAUGCCUGAUUCUGAUCUCAUGCCUCUGUUACCGCACAGCCUUCAAAAGAAACCAGAUCAAAAUCAGUCCUUGAGGAGACGGGAGACCGAUGAAGGAAGGUUUGGGAUGAUAUCCCCCUUACACGUGCUGAUCAUAUUUCACCCAUAUGGGACGUCUUGACAACUAGAUCCCUUUAAUCAGCAGUUUCAGUGAAACCACGGAGAGAGUUCAGCACUGCUCACAAAUGAUUUAAAAGGGCAUCCUUGAUGGUUUCAUAUCCAGCCAGUACCACAGCUUUCCUGGGUCCAAAAUGCACAGUGAAGAUGUUGCCAUAUAUCUUGGAGAGCUUCAAAGAUCACAGGGUGUGUGGCAGAUCCAGGGGUAGUUAAACACAGCUGUUUCCCGGUCUUCCUUUGGUCAUUUAUUUGCAUUAGUACAUCUUGGCAUCAGCCCUGGCUUUUCUCAGCAACAUGAAUAUUGGAUGUGGCAGGCCUGAAAGCCUCAAGGAAGCUGCUUGGCAGCUUAUAGGAAAUGAGUCUGGUACCUGCAAAUGACAUUUGUAUCAUAAAAUCCCCCACUACAGCCAAAAAUAGUUGCCCCUUUCUUCAGCCCCUCCACAAACACCCCUAUGGUCAGACGGGAAGUCAGGACUAGAAGACCAUCAAAACUGCGCUCUGCACAAGCCUGGUGGCCCUGUAAGUCCAGGCAGAUGGACAUUGUGUGACUGCUGUAGGAAAUCUGAACUUUUGCAGCCCAGGAUGCACCUCUUCUAUGACUAACUGGAGAAUUUCAGUGUCUGCACUGCCAUCUCGCUGUGGGUGUUGAGGCGAGCUGAGGGAGUUCACUGCGGGCUGGACUUCCCCCGUUGUAGCGCCUGGCAAGCACACGCUCGGGGAAUGUGGCAGACCAGCCACAGCCCCUCCAGCGUCUCUACAGCAACCUGAAGAAAUCUGAAUUCAUGCUGAAUUGCCCUCACCUCCCUACAGGAACAUAGCAGCCACUUUCUGAAACAAACAUUGCAGCUGGCUUUAAAAUAUUUAAGUAUUUCUUUUUCCCCUUUAGAAAUAAAAGCAUCCGUGGAGCUGCAUAAGAAACUGCAUUUGUUUACCUAGAGGUACAAAAGCCAUGCACCAAGUCUUGAAUAACCCUGGACUGUGUGUGCAAGAAGAGAGGGGGGAGGCAGAGUUGAGCUUUGCAUUGCAACGAAGUAAGUGGCUUUGGAAAUAAAUGUACGUAUGACCCAGUUUCCUCUGCCAUGGGAAUGAUACCUUUCUUUCCUGCCUACCUUCCCCCUUCCUGUGGGAGAUGUCUGUCUGUAGUGACAGAGCUGCUGACAGCAGAUGCCCCCACCCUUCAGCAGACUGGCCCCGCUUGUGCCUUCUACUUGCAGAGUCUGAAGGCCAUAACUAGGGCUUGAGGUACCAACACUGUGGACCUGUCUGCAAGGGGUGGAGGCCCCUGCUUGCAUGUGUGUAAAGGAAGGGGUACAUAUACACAUACAUAUGUAGGUAGGGUGUCAGUCUGCCAGCCUGCCUGUACUCUAAAUAGCUCAUUUCUGCCUUCCACACAAUGCAAACACAAUCGCAUCUCCAUCACCCUAGUUGCAUUUCUCACACCAGGCAUUGCAUGCAGCCAGUUUUCUUCCUGCCUGCUCACUCAAGACCCUACCUCUGUCAGUGACUGGAACGGCUUUUUCAGGUCCACCACGUUCAAGUUUCCGAUCAGAGGAAGAGGUCGUGGCCCAGGAGGCAAACUGCAAACUGAUUUCUUCAAGCUGGAUGAGACCGGCGGCUCUGCGGCGCAUGUCGCCAGCACACCACCACCGAUAUUGUGUCCCCCCAAAAGGUAUUUUCCUAAGUGGGGCCACUGUCCUGAGCAGUGACGGGUGCAAAACUUCUUCUUAAAGCUGGUGGGAAACGAGGAGCCCCGGUGUCAUCUGGGUCCCCUGACUGAUGUGGCGGCUUGGGAAGAAACAGAGAAUUUGGAUGAUGCAGGUUCCUGUAUAAAUUGGUUUGCUGACACUGGUGUCUGAUUUUUGCUGUUUUUCCCUUCAUAAAGUCAUCUGAACAAAUAAAUUUUAGCAGUCAGCUAUGCGAGCAAAAAUC